rnacentral:tRNA from 1 species
GCCGGGGUGGAGGAACGGCAGACUCGGACGCCUCAAAAGCGUCUGCUUGAAAGAGCGUGCGGGUUCGAAUCCCGCUCCCGGCA